rnacentral:rRNA from 1 species
GAGUCGAUUAGCCAUGCGAGUCUAAAGGUUUCUUCGGAAACCUUGGCGGACUGCUCAGUAACACGUGGAUAACCUACCCUUGGGACUGGAAUAACCCCGGGAAACUGGGGAUAAUACCGGAUAGAUCAUGGAUGCUGGAAUGCACCUUGAUCCCAAGCUCCGGCGCCCAAGGAUGGGUCUGCGGCCUAUCAGGUUGUAGUGGGUGUAACGUACCUACUAGCCGACGACGGGUACGGGUUGUGAGAGCAAGAGCCCGGAGAUGGAUUCUGAGACACGAAUCCAGGCCCUACGGGGUGCAGCAGGCGCGAAACCUUUACAAUGUGCGAAAGCAUGAUAAGGGAACUCCGAGUGCCAGUAUCUAAUAUUGGCUGUCCUUGUGCUUAAAACGCACAAGAUAGCAAGGGCCGGGUAAGACCGGUGCCAGCCGCCGCGGUAACACCGGCGGCCCGAGUGGUAGCCGCUAUUAUUGGGUCUAAAGGGUCCGUAGCCGGUUCGAUGAGUCCUCUGGGAAAUCUGGUUGCUUAACAAUCAGACUGCCAAGGGAUACUGUCGAACUUGAGACCGGGAGAGGUAAGAGGUACUUCAGGGGUAGGAGUGAAAUCUUGUAAUCCCUGGGGGACCAUCUGUGGCGAAGGCGUCUUACCAGAACGGGUCUGACGGUGAGGGACGAAAGCUGGGGGCGCAAACCGGAUUAGAUACCCGGGUAGUCCCAGCCGUAAACGAUGCUCGCUAUGUGUCAGGUACGGUGUGACCGUAUCUGGUGCCGUAGGGAAGCCGUGAAGCGAGCCACCUGGGAAGUACGGUCGCAAGACUGAAACUUAAAGGAAUUGGCGGGGAGCAC